GACGAACGCUGGCGGCGUGCUUAACACAUGCAAGUCGAACGGAAAGGCCCUGCUUGUGUGGGGUGCUCGAGUGGCGAACGGGUGAGUAACACGUGAGUAACCUGCCCUUGACUUUGGGAUAACUUCAGGAAACUGGGGCUAAUACCGGAUAGGAGCUCCUGCUGCAGGGUGGGGGUUGGAAAGUUUCUGCGGGUGGGGAUGGACGCGCGGCUUAUCAGCUUGUUGGUGGGGUAGUGGCUUACCAAGGCAGUGAAGGGUAGCCGGCCUGAGAGGGUGACCGGCCACAUUGGGACUGAGGUACGGCCCAGACUCCUACGGGAGGCAGCAGUGGGGAAUAUUGCACAAUGGGAGGAAGCCUGAUGCAGCAACGCCGCGUGCGGGAUGACGGCCUUCGGGUUGUAAACCGCUUUCGCCUGUGACGAAGCGUGAGUGACGGUAAUGGGUAAAGAAGCACCGGCUAACUACGUG
rnacentral:rRNA from 1 species